UUCCCUAUUCACUUAAAUUCUAGUCGUUUUUUAUCCAAUUUAUAAUAAUUUUACCCAAUAUUAUUACAAUUCUAGCCAAAUUAUGUCGAAUUAGACUCAAUUUAACUUUUCACCCAAUUUUGAUCAAAAUCUUAAUAUUUAGAUCUCAACCGUUGAUUAAAUUGAUCCAACGAUCGAGAUCACAUUUCUCUUUGCUUUCCAUUUUUAAGCUAACAGGAAACCCUAGCCUUAUUCCAUCAAACAACAGCCGUAUCUCUCUACUUUCUUUCUUUAUCUCCCCCUCUGUCUAAAGGAACCGCCGCCUCUCCCUCAACCUCCACGCCUCUGCCGUCGACAAGGCCACCACCGACAGCCCAUGCUGGAUGAGACCAGCCGACCGUCGCCACCAUCUCCAUCAUCGCCGUCGUUAGCCACCUCCAGUGCCGCCAGCCGCCGCUACAAGCAGCCAUGCAGCCGGCGAUCCGACCUCUACACUUCCUCCUCCACGCCGUUCCCCAUCGCCACCAUAGCCAUCAACCAUUCACCACUCCACCAGUUGGCAGGACCCCCACCGCCAUGAAUUUACAGCCAGCCGCCGCCGCAAGCAGCCAUGCAGUCGGCAAUCCAACCAACAAAGCCACCGCCACCACCUUAUUUCUCUUCUCUCUCCUCUAGUCUAUUGACCCCUUUUCUACUGCAACGCCGUUGGAGUUGAUAACCGGUGAGGUUUUCAAUGAAAUACCAUUCCCGUUAUUGUUUAGUUUGGCAUGAGUUUCAAAUCGGUGGCUUUGCCUCCGAUUACCCCAAAAUAGGUUCUUAAUUUUAAAAUUCGUGAUGUUUGGUGUGUGAUUUUGACUUGAUUGUUUUAAUUUCAUAUUUAUCUACACCUGUUCAUUAACAUAUACGAAAAGCCCCAAAUUUGCAUGACUUUUGGUUAAACUCUAAUUUUGAUUUGAAUGUUGAUCUUGUAAAUAUUAAAAUUGUGAUUCUCUUGUCUUGUCGUUGUUAUGAAUUUACCCCUAAGGUAGUACCAAGUUGAGUUGUAAUUGUUAUUUUUGUACACUAUUUUAUUUUAACGUUCAACUCAUGUGCAUUUGAAAUUAACAGCUUUGUGAUAGAUUAUUUUUGACAAGCUUGAAUUUUGAUCUUAAUGUGUUAUGUGAUUAUAUUUGGUUACUUUUGAUCUGACUUCGUGCAUGAUUUUAAUUGUUCUCGUGAGUGUGAUUUGUGUGUUUGAUAUCUCUUGGAAUUUUUUACAUGUUAGUGGAGUAUGAACUGAUUUUGGGCGUAAUUGCAAUCACCCAAGGGAUAUUUUACAGUCCUUCUGUUUUGACAAAUUAUAUGAUUGAUUCCGUUAAUUUUGCUAUUGAUGAACACUAAGUGCUGUCCAUAUUCUAUGUUAUUUACUUGGUUUGCUGCAGAUAUUUACUUGUUUAUUUAUGGUAAUUCCGGGUGAUUUGCCUUGACUAUUUUUCUACCUAUUUUUACUGAUUGCCUUUCUUUCCUCUAACUUAGACAACUUUUUAUCAUUUUUAUUUUUGGUAGGACUAACGUAAUUUGUGAUUCUAUUAAUUCAAAUUAGUGCAUUAAGGAAAAUAUUCUGACUGAUAGUUAAAAUAUUCUCCUUCCUUUAUUUUCAUAACCCCUCAGCCUAUACAAACGAUCCCUCUUUUCACUUAACAGACAACUCUUCCUGAUUACUACUCUCUACAACAAAAACUACUAGCUACUUUAAUACCAAGGAUAAAAUAUUUCUCAAGCUCUUUGGUGUUUCUUUUCGGGUUUAAGGGAGCAUCCUGCAUAUCUCACUGUUACGGGUGCUUUGCUUCAACAUCCUUACUAUUUUCUUAUUGCUGUUUACUGGAAGCAUCCUGCAUAUCUCACUGUGGGGAGUGCUGUGCUUCAACAACCUUCUUAUUAUUUUAUUUUUUAUUUGUUGCUUAUCGGUAAAAGUUCUCAAAUCGAUGUAAUUUUAAUUCUUUGUGUGUGCUGACUGUGAAAGCCAUUAGAAAACAUAUCAAUAGGGAUAUUUGUUGCUAUGUUCCUGUUUGUUUCGCUGUUACAUUAUGUCUCACAGGUAUAAAUAGACGAUUUAGAAUUGAAGAGUCGCCCGGGGUUGAUAGGGAUUAUAUUGUGCCCUAAAGUUUAGUUGAUUCUUCCUUUUUAUGUAAUAUUGUAUAAAUGCUAUUGAUGUAAUAAUAAUUAUGGGGACUGCUUGAGGUGUGGGGCUUAUGUUCUCUAUGAAUCGUAGGCAAACUUUAACAUUAGGAUUAACAGCCAAUUAAUUUGGACACGUAGAAAGGUUGUUUUAAGAGUAUUAUUAAAACAGAUUUAAGCAUGUUGUUGGUCUAGUCGAUAGCUUGAGAAUUAAUGACUAAAGUUUGUGUUAAUUCUGUAGCAUGUGUUUUUCAGUAUAUUAAUAUUACUUUUCAGCAAUCUAAAAUUAUUUUUCAGCAUGUAAAUGUUAAAUUCCAGCAUAUUGAUAUAUUUUCCAGCACAUAAAUGUUGAUUUUAGUAUAUUAGUGUCGUUUUUCAGCGUUAGUGUAUUUUAAGCGUGUUCAGCUUAAAUUUCAACAUGUUAAUACAUUUUUUCAGCAUGUUAACAUUAUAUUUAAGCAUGAAUGUUAAUGUAAUUUUCAGCAUGAAUAAUAAUUUCUAGCACUUUAAUUGAAUUUUCAACAUGUUAGGUUUAAUUUCCAGAAUAUUAAGAAGUAGCUUUCAGUAUGUUAAAACAAGUGUUCAACAUGUUUACAAACUUUCCGUGAUAUUAUCAGUUCUAAAAAAUGUAAUCUCCAUUAUGUUAACUAGUUUCCGCGUUGUGGUAUAGUUUACUAGCACUUUUAAUUAAUUUUCAACACUUCCAUUUUUCACAAUGUGUUUUGCAUAACAAAAUUUAUGGGUAUCACCUUAUUUAACCAGUAACCAUAAGGUAUACUAUGUUUUCCAUUUUUUCAAAGAACCACUUUGUGUAUGUGUUCUAUCAUCAAUGCAGGUAGACUAAUGAAUUCAAAAUAGCUAAGGCAUUCCAUGACAUACAAGUCAGCUGCUGAAUCAGUGUUUCUUUUUUGUGAUUUAGGCAGAAUCACCUUGUUAACGAAGUCAAAGACCAAUUGAAUUUUUCUCUUGAGUAAUUUUGUAUUCACUGCAGCUACAUAUUGCCCUUUGACCUUUAAUGUAUAUACUAAAAACUCUAUUGAGGGUUGCUUCUUUGAGACAGUCCUCACACCAUAAAUAGUAACUUCUAGAAUUCUUUCCAAUGUUUCUUCAUUCAACUUUAUUUUCUUUCCUUAGACCUGUGUAAUCAGAAUCAACCCAUCUUCUGAGAAAUCCAAUGUGGAAUAGAAUUUCCUAACUAUCUCAUCAAAAAUAGUGGGAAUCGGUCUUUCUAUAAGAUACAUCCAGCCUUAAUGUUUUACCAGCUCAACUAACUCCAACAUUCUAGGUUCUAUUAACAUACUUAUGUCAAAAAUCCUUCCAAUUAAUACCUUUUGAUUCUUUAAGAACCUAUUUCUCACUUCUUUAGACACAACAUUACUAAUCUCCCCAUUUUUUCUUCUAGUAUAGGUGAUCACAGAUUUUCUUUUAGCUACGUUCCUCUUCCUGAGACUAGGUCCCUGAGAAGUCUCAUUCUUUUUAGUAAAACUUAUAGACUUUUCUCUAGAAUAUUUUGGUAUUUUACUAACAUUUUGAUUUUUGGGGGAAAUAUACUCUUUCCUGGGUUAUUUGAUAGGAAGAUGAGGUUUUUAGCCAUCUAGGCAUUAUCCAUCAAUGUAUUAUCAAAAAAUUUUUGAUGGCUCAAGGAUUAUUCUUCAUCAACAAUUUGGGUGAAGGAGUUUGUCUUUGGAAGAGUGAGAGAUGAAGAGUAUUUUUCAAAAGGAUUUGAGAAAGGACUUUUGGUAAUGCUAUGCUUAGGUUCCUUUAAAAGACAAAAAAAUGAGGAAUCUUUAGCCAUUUGUAGAUCUUUUCAAUAGGAGAACUAUUUGUGACUAGGUAUUUUGUUUUGACUAGAGAAGGAUAAGGUCAGAUAUAUAGGAAAGAGUAAACAUAGAAAAGGUUUUUUGAAAGAGUUGGAUGUGAUCACUUUUGAAUUUGAGGAUGACUCAUCCUUUUUUUUAGGAUAUGAAAAUGUUUUUUCAAACUAAAAGGGAGAGAGGAUGCAUCUUUAUCAGUUAGAACAGAUAAAAAUGCACAUUUAUGAUACUAACCUGGGAGAUGGGACUAGGUCCUUCUUUUUCCUUGAGUGAAUCCUUGGCUUUGUGGAUGUCACAUUUUCCUCUUCCAAAGUUGUUCCCAUAGGUGCAUACCUACAAAGGUAUGAUACUGAGUUAGACUAACAUGUAAUUAUUUUACCAAGGAUACCUGCCUUCUGAACAUAGAUAAAAUUUUGGAAGGGAAGUUGAUCCAUUUAGUAAGUCGGGUUAAUUUGAUCAAUCCUGGCCACAACUUGUUGGUUUUAAUGCACCACUUCUACCCAGAAGUUUUCCUAAAAUUAGGUUUGAGGAUUAGGUCCCAAACUUAGCAUCCUUUGAAUUUUUAAGGUUCCUUCUGCAUUGCUUUGGACUAGCCAGCAUCUUUCAGACUUUUUCACCCUUUUGAGCUUAUUUUUUGGAUAAUAAUGUUGAGAAGCCCAUAAGGUAUUGGACUUAGCCUCUUGUAUGCACUCCUGUCUCAAAAUAUGAAGUUAGAAUAUCUAGUAGGAUGAGAAGAUAUGUGCUUUCAAUUUGUCCUUCUAAAAUGAAUUCCAUAGGGACCAGGUCCCUUUGAAAUUUUAACUAGAUACUUUUUGAGGUUCUUCUUGGAGAACUAUCACUGUCAUCACUCUCCACUGCAUCAAAUUUUUCAUUGAUCUUCAUUUUCAUCAACAUCUUCCUUAUUUAGGAGUAUCCCAUACAUAUAUUUUUUCUUGAUCUAUUUUACCUUUUUCAUAUAAGAUAUAUCCACUAAGGAGUGUCUUGAGAGAGAGAGAAUACAAUCAGACCGACCAGUCAUAACAUUGAACAAUUACAUUCAAGAAGAUAGUUUCGACUGCAAGCCCUUUCUCUUUUAUACAAGCAAAAUCAUUUGUUAGGUUUGGGAAACAACUUGAGUUUGAGUUCCCAAUAGGAGGUCAGAGGUAUGUGAUUAAAUUUUUUUUUGCCCAUCUAGGGANNNNNNNNNNAAAGAUAGCUUUUUCUAAUUUUUCAAAGGUCUAAAUUCUUUUUGAUAGUUAUUUCCUUGAUGAAUAUAUCUAUCAUUGAUCAUUCUUUCUCUAUUAUAACUUUACAGUGUUCUUUCAUGUGUCCAUCUCUUCCACAAUGAGUUUAGAAAUAUUUCUAGACUUUUUUUUUAACAUCUCAAACGACUUUGCCUUGUAAUCUAGAUGAUUGAGUUUUGUAAUGAUACCCAAGGACCUUACCAUUAUUGACUCCUUGACCAGCUAAGCUUGAAAGGAAUUUUGAAGAUGAAGUCUAUUGAAGAGAUUUUUUUGAGUUCUUCCUUCAGACAGACCAGGUCCCUCUCCAACUCCUCAUUCUUCUGGAGUGCAUUCAUGAGAUUCUGUUGAGAAUCCCCUAAUAUUUCUUCAAGAACAACCUAAAACUUUGAUGUUUUUUUCUUUUCUUUAUUCUCAGAAGCAUCUACUAUCUCUAGUUGACUUACCAAACUAAGGUUUUCAAAUUUCAUAUUAGCAACAUGUUGCUCAGUUUUAGAUAUCUGGAGGGUUAAAGUUAUCAUCUCAAGCUCUUGACUUUCUACCUUUUCUUCUAGAGAAUUUUUUCAUUAGUCAUUUCACACAUGGAAUUAAUCAACAUAUUAGCAAGCUUUUUUAUUUUUCUAGCAGAGUAAUUCUCUAAGUUUUCUUUAAUGUCAGAGAGUGUUACCUCAUUUUUUCUUCAUCUUCAGUGUUUGCCAUAAAAGAAAAUAAUGAAUCAAAGGUCACUUUAUCAUCCUCUACUACUAGCAUGGAAACAUCUUCAUACUUCCCAUCUUCUUUAGAUUCACUAGAGGAAUCUCCCCACAUUGCUUGAGCCUGCCUUACUACAUAAUCAGUUGCAACCUUUUUAUUUAUUUUACAGGGACCUAAUCCCUGUUCUUUUCUUUGUCACUUCCAAUCCUGAGAUAUUCCUGAUAGUUUAAUUUGUACAUUGGACAAUCCUUAAUGAAAUACUAAGGACUUCCAUAUUUGUGACAAACCAUCACAAUGCCUCACUUUUUGCUGCUACUUUCACUUCUUUAAAAUUGGACACUUUUCUUCAUAGCUCUCACAAUUCUUUUUGCCAAAUAAGCAAUAUCAUGGUCUUCUUCAUUAGAGUCUGAUUUUAGUACCCUCACUGCUAGGGAUUUUUCCCUUUUUUCUUUCUUCAUCUCAUGUUCUUGCUACUUCUUGAGUUCAUGAGUAUUUAAAUUUCCAAUAAGCUCAUCCAUAGUAAGAGUUUUAGUUUCCUUGCCUCAGUAAUAGCAUUUACUUUGCUUUCCCAGGAUUUUGGCAGAACUAUAAGAAUCUUCCUCACUCGCUUAUAAAAUGGAAUUACUUUUCCUUGGUAUAGCUCAUUUGUUAUGGAAGUGAAUCUUGUAUGUGUUUUUGUAUUGUCUCUUCUUCUUUCAUGGUGAAGGUUUCAUACUAGGUAGUUAGCAUAUCAACUUUGGAAUCCUUCACAUCUAUAGUUCCCUUAUGAUAUAUUUUCAAGCAAACCUAGAUAUCUUUAGUAUUUUCACAUGCAAAAAUCCUGUUGUAUUCAUCAAGACCUAUACCACAAACUAGCAAUUUCUUGGCAUUGUUAUUCUUCUCAAUUUUCUUUCUGUCUUCAUCAUCAUAGUCUCUCCUCAUUUUAACAACUAUUCUAGUUAUCUAUCCUUCUUUGACUUCUUUAAUAGGAACAUGAGGACCAUUAAGAAUUAUGUCCAUCAGCUCACUAUCUUUAGCCAUAAUAAAGUCAAACAUCCUGGUUUUCCACUGCCCAUUAAAUCUAGGUGGUCUAGUGGUAGAUUGCCUUGCUUCCAGGUUAGGUGAAGAAAUCAUGCUAACCAAAUCACUUUAGGUGUGAACCUUUUAGAGUGUUAUGGCUCUGUACCAAUUGUUGAAACCUUUAUACCACACUGUAAGGGAUCAGGUCUCUCAAAAUCAAUCAUAUGCAAAGGCAUAGUAAACCAACUAGGAACACAAAACAGUGCAACAAAUAUAAAUAAUACAAGAUUUAAUGUGUAAUGCCCCUUGCUCGGUGGACUAAAAACCAUGGAUUUCCCUUACAAGCACCCAAAUCUUCAAUACAAUCAAUCUCCUUAUUAUAGUCUUUAAUGAACCUAACUCUAGGUUUAUCAUGCUUGUAAUAACUCUACUACAUGCCUACCUUAGCAACUCUUCAAAGAACGCACUUUGAUAUUGAUUAAAUCUAACCAAUAUAAACCUUAGGUAACUCUACCUAAGUUCUCUCAAAGCAAAAGUAAAAGAACAUUACUCUAAUAGCUUGAGUAAUUCAAUUACAAUUCAGGACUCACUCAAGAACACUCACUCUUUUGUACAUACAAGAAAUAAAAACUUGAGCUAUACUUGUGCAACUGGAUUAAGUUUUUUCCUUUCUCAAUUUUCAUUCUUUAAUUCUGAAUUUUGCAAAAACACUUGAUGAAGAAGCAUCAUUUUCUUUUUAUAGAUGAGUGAUGAAUAGGGUUGAAAUAUAAUUGGACCAUGUGUCCUUAAUAAUGCAAGCAUCACCUACAUAAUUUGUUACAAUAGAGGACAAAAUUGUGCAGAUGCAUGCCAGCUAUACAGUAACCUUGGACAUUCAGGGACCUGGUCCUUUGUAGUCAUUUGCUCAUCAUCAAAAUAAGAUACAUCAAUUGGUUUAUAUACUAGGUUUUCUGUUGAUAUGUAAUGAUGUUGCUUGAUCACAUUGUGUCGUGGUGAGUGGUUUUUGUACACACAUCUAAUUUUCGUAUUUUUUAAUAUUGUAAGGGGUUGAACUUAUAUUUUGAUUUAUGCGUACUAAAUUUGGUUUUUGAAAAGUAUGAUUGCCCUAGGACUCUUAGUUUUUUCUUGGUUAGGUGUAAGUUAGGUUGUGUUUUAUUUUAGUUCUAUUUGUUUGCCUGAGGACUUACAAAUGUUGUAUCUUGAGGGUGUUGAUGUAUCGAGGACUUACUUCACUUUCGAUGCCUAAAAAAAGGAAAUCUCUAGUUUAAAGGCAUGUUUUUGACAAUGGUCAUGAUUUUCAAUAGUGGAAAGAACCUGAGUAAGUGAAAUAUGAAGGUUGGCAGAUGAGAGGUCCCUUGAUCGUACCAUGAUGAAAUAAAAUUGUCCAAAAAAUUAUGGGUGGAUAUAGUGCAAAGUGAAAAUAUGAGGUAUAACCCAUGACAAGAUUUCACGAUCGUAGAAGGACAGUAUGAGCUCGUACUAAGCAUCAUUUCCACACAAAUAUGAAAGAUAAAAUAAGUUAUCCACCAACCUACGAGAACUAAGCGAUCGUGGUUUUAUGUUUGUUUAUAAAUACUCCUAAAUGGUAUUUUGUAUUAGUUUACAUUCCCGUAGUACCUUUGAGGCAUAUUAUUAUACUUCAAAGUAUAAACAUUGAUUUUUAGGGUUUUAAGUCAAAGUGAGAUUUUUGGUCUUUAUCUUCUUCUUUGUAAAUUCAUAAUUAUGAUUUUUAUUAAGAAUUACUAUUGUGUACUUGAAAUUAUGAGUAGCUAAACACCAAAACUAGGGUUGUGGAACCCAUGAUAGAUUGACGAAGUAGUGUUUGAAAUAGGACAUGAUUCUUAAAGGGUGUAUCACAUGUAUUAUGAUUUUCUUUUAUUUGAUUGCUUUUUUAUGGUGGCUAACUUUAGAAAUUUCCCUAUCCUUACUAGCAUUAAAAAAGGUGUAACAGAUUGGGAAAGGGAGUCUUGGAGCUAUCAACCUCUAUUUGACUAACUUGAGCUGGUAAAUAGGAUAGUUAUUAUGGGAUAAAUGAUAGGAUUUAGUAAUGCAAAAAUCAUGAGAUGUUAAUUGUGAUUGAAGAGUGUAAUCUAAUAGGGGUGUAAAGAUAUUUAGAUAAACAUAACCUAUUGAUUCUGCAUGCCAAGUACAAAAGAGAUUAUUAGUACAAAGAGCCAACAUAGUUAUGAAAUUAUGAAAGCAUGUCCUAGUGCCACUCUCACACUGACUACAAAUCCAACAAAAUCCGCAACUUAUUACUUUUGAAGUUCUUAAAUACCCCCUAUACUGAAAAUUGCUUACUAAUUAUUUUGACUAACAUAUUGAUAGAUUUUUCAAACUAUUCCUUAUGGGAUCAACCCCAACCUAGUUCGACUCUAUGUUUGAUGGUGAUUGCUUUAUACUUUUAUCAAAGGUGUAAUUUAGGUGACAUCAAUGGGUCAUCUUUUCCCACAAAUUCCAAAUCCUCAUGAUACAUAAGCUCAAACUUUAUUGCAACCUAUACAACUCUCUAAAAUAAAGCACCAGACUAAGAUGAAAACUGUCCGUUGAAUUUGAAAGGUGAAACUCCUCAUAAAUUUAUGAAACUCUUGACCUCAUCUGGAAAAAUUACUAAGGCAUGGAAAGAAAAUGAGUUGAAUUGUAUCUCAUACUCAAUCACUAUGAUCCCUUAGUGGGUCUAUAAAUACCCUUCAUGUUAUUUUCCAUAUUUCUGCUUAUGGAAGCAUGUCCUAGUGCCACUCUCACACUGACUACAAAUCCAACAGAAUCAACAACUUAUUACUUUUGAAGUUCUUAAAUAUGCUCUGUACUAAAAAUUGCUUACUAAUUAUUUUGACUAACAUAUUGAUAUAUUUUUCAAGUUAUUCCUUAUGGGAUCGACUUCAACCUAGUUAGACUCUAUGUUUGAUCGGUGAUUGCUUUAUACUUUUAUCAAAGGUGUAAUUUGGGUGACAUUAAUGGGUCAUAUUUUCCCACAAAUUCCAAAUUCUCAUGAUACAUGAGCUCAAACUUUGUGGUAGCCUCUACAACUCUCUAAAAUAAAGCACCAAACUAAGAUGAAGGCUGUCUGUUGAAUUUGGAAGGUGAAACUCCUCACAAAUUUAUGAAACUCUUGACCUCAUCAGGAAAAAUUACCAAGGCAUGGUAAGAAAAUGAGUAGAAUUAUAUCUCAUACUUAAUCACUAUGAUCCCUUAGUGGGUCUAUAAAUACCCUUUAUGUUAUUUUCCAUAUUUCAGCUUAUUUUUUUCCACUAGUGCUUUUAUACCACUGCCCUAAGUCAUUUAUGACUUACUGGAACUGACAGUUUAGUUAUCGAGCAAUUUGUUUGGAUUCUAGAUCCAAUUCUCUAUUGUGAAGUUUCCACUUGUUCCAAAUGACCACCAGGCAAAAAAUUUAAUUAAAUAAUCUCGAAUGUAAAUUUUAACAAUGCCAAAAGCUCUAAAAUAUUGAUUUUAGUCUAGGUGGUCCUCUGGUUUGGGUCCUGAUACACCCGAUCUUAUUUUGGCCUAUUGGUAAAAAAUUUAAGAAAAUGAAAUAUGUGUGUGGGACCCAUAUUUGGUCGAAACGACCUUGAAUGGAAAAUUCAAUUGACACAUUGAGUCCAAAAUAUCAUUUUUUAUAUGGUUACAUAGUCCAUUUGCAUGGUAUUUUUGAUGAAUCCUGAGGGCUUAGCAGAGACUUGGAAAUUCCAAGUCCAUUGCUGUCAGCUGGUGCAUCGUGAUAGCGGCUCUUUGGAACUUGAUUGCACCUUACUCAGUAGUGGAGAUACUAUGAUUGCAAAGAGGUGUUAUGAUUACUACUCGUGUCAUAGAUGAGAGGUACCGUGAUCAUGGAGCUUCAGGUUGCAAUAGCGACUGCCGAGAACCUAGACUGGGUAUAAAAGGACCCCAUUUCCAUGAUUUUCUCCAUUCUUCAUCACUUCCUUAAGAGAUAAAAAAUUAAAUAGUGUGAGAACAUAAAAUUAAAGCUUGUUGGUGAUUGGAAAGCUAGAUUAACAUUUAUUUUUUAAAUCAUCUUCUGAUUUGAAGUAAGAAUUCACUAUUUUCUGGGUGAAAUCUCUUGAUUUAUUGCUCAAAAUUACAAAACCUUUAGGGCUUGAAUUUAGCCCCAAUUUAUCUUGGUUUUCAACCAUUUUUAGGGUAAAGAUUCUUUGAGCAUGUAGGAAUGUUAGGUUGGUUUUGGAAAUGCAAUUUUGGUAAGUGGAAUCCAUGUAGGGGUUUGAUGUGAUUUUUGAACCCAAAGCACAAUAAUACAUUAUGGGUAUCGUUAUUAUCAUAUUGAUGAUUAUGUUUUUGAUAUCUUAGAAUCUUAAGGAGGCUUUUUGGAAAGGAAAAAUGAUGCUUUAGCAAUUUAUUGAGCUUUCUUCGGCAUCAAGGUAGGCUGAAUUUAUCCCUUGUUAGAUUGAGAUAUUUCAGAGUAUUCUUAUAAUAUUGUGUUAGAUUUGGGAUGGUUUUUAGGUUUUUGAUUGAUAAAAGGAAGUCUUGGACUAGCUGGACUGUUCAUGCCAUUUUGAAACCAUAGUGUUGAAACAAUUGACUUGUUUUCUUAUGCCUUAGGUGAAUUGGACUUCAUUACUCAUGUUUAGCAUGAGAAUGUAUUAGACCACUCAAGUUAGGUAAGAUUGCUUUAGUCACUCAUGCUUUGGGUAAGUUUGGCCUUAGUUUAUUACACUAAUAAAGGUUGCCUUAGUUUUCAUUGGACUUAGUUAAUUUGUUUGGGAAGUAUUUCUACCUUAGGACUAAUUGUAGCUUAUUUAACAUCUAAAAGUGGAUUUAAAUACCUUAAGCCUAGUUCGGGUAGAUUUUUCCUAAAAUGGAACUCAAGGAUUAGAAGUAGAUUGUUAACCUACUUUAGGAUAUGACACAUGAUUAGUUUUUGUGAACCUUUUAUGCUUAUUAGACUUGGAAAUAUGUAUUAAGGUAGUAUUGAGAAAUUUUAUUACUUAAUAAUUGUGUUGGUUAAUGUGAGGGUUUAGGCCUAUUGAUUGUGCUAUUAGUUUGUUAUUGAUGAUACUAUCCAUGAUGUUGAUUUUAUAUAUAUCCAGUUUAAUUUCAGAAGAUGAUUAUGUUGUUGAUUGUAUAUACCCGAUUUGAGUCCGGAGGAUGAUCAUGACACUAUUGAUUUAUUUACCAAUUCAAGUUCAGCUAUUGAUUAUAACUACUGGUUCGAGUUUGGAAAUUGAUUAUUUAUUAGUUCAAGUCUAGUUAUUAAUUUUAUUUAUUGGUUCAAGUAUGAAUAUACAUCUUAUGCUAUGAUGAUAUAUUUCUUAUGAUCAACAAUAUCAAGGUGUGAGAUUGAAAGUUUUAAUUUGGCUAAGUUGGAAAAUGAGGAAAUGUUUAUAAUGUGGCAUGCCAUAAAUGUACUCUAGAGGUGAAAUGACAAGUUGGGAAAUGAUGGUUAGUUGAUAAAUGAUGACUAGUGUAUGUAUGUUGUGGUAUAUCGCAUACACAAGUGUAUCUAAUCAGACAAGUAAUAUAGUAACUCAAAAGAAUCGGAUGUCGAACCCACAUGGACUGCUUGUUUAGAAAUUUACUUAACUUUAGUUAUGAAAAUAUUAUAUUCAAAUGUUAUGGAGUAUCAAAAUAUUUGUGAUAUUUUAGUAACUAAAUAACUAAUAAAUGAAUAAUAAAGUGUGAUAAUAGCAAUGUAAGCAAAGAUGUAAAAAAAUAUGAGGGGAAAUUCCAGGAUUAAGGCACUCUCUACAAUUAUGUAAACCGCUAUCCUUAUUGUUGAUCAUGUUUGUUAUCAGAUGUUUGAUUCACAUGAUUUAUAUUAUGAUCAUGGUCUUUUGAGCCUGUAAUAUUCUACCAAAUAGGACAUCACAACUACAUUGUUGAGCGGGAAUGUAAUAAUCCAUUUUAGAUACUUUAAGUUAUCUUCUUGCAAUUGAACCAAACAAGGUAAUCUAAGGAUAUUUCUAUCCAAGAGGCUACUUCAAAUCAUUCGUUAUUUAGAAGAAUAUGAACUUGAUCCUUAAACCAUUUGAAUGUUCCUCCUUUACGGAUUACAAAAGAAUUAAACAUGUAUUUCAAUGGAGGCCAAUCAUUAAAAUAGUAAGAGUAAGAGAAUAAUAACAAUCCAUACGAUAAACCAACAUUCAAAAAACUCUAAGAAUAUAAAACUAUAAUCAUGGCCUUAACCCUAAUGUGCUAGCUUUGUUUAAGAAUAUUUAAGGCUUUUAACUCGGAAUAAUUGUAAGUUCGUAAGUAAAUAUUGUCGAUUUUGAUUAUAUUUCAUGUGAUAUUGCAGGGAAGUCGAGAUGCAUGAAAAUCUUUGAUUACUAGGUUAAGAAGGAUGAAUUUUUGGUGAAGAAAAUUAAGAAAUUGAGUUUUGAAGAUUUCAAGCGACGACUUGUCUGAUAAGUCAUCAAACAUCUGAUAACUGUCAAGGAA
rnacentral:lncRNA from 1 species